rnacentral:rRNA from 1 species
GAUCAACGCUGGCGGCGUGCCUUACGCAUGCAAGUCGAACGGCGCCCUUCGGGGUGCAGUGGCGGACGGGUGAGUAACACGUACGUGACCUACCGCGCAGGGGGGAGUACCAGUCGAAGGGACUGCUAAUACCGCAUGUGCUCAGCGAGGGGACGUUNCUGAGGAAAGGGACCGCGCAAGCGGUCUCGCUGGGUGGAGGGGCGGUGCGGCCGAUUAGCUAGUU